CUAGCCACGUGUGGCUAUUGUGCACUUGAAAUGUGGCCAGUGUGACUGAGGAACUGAAUUUCUUUUAGCUUUAAUUAAGUGUAAAUAGCCAUACAUAGCUAGUGGCCAGCAUACUGGACAGGUCAAAUUUAGAACCUCUUCUUUCUGCCACUGUUGACUAUGACAAAAGAACGAGUCAUAGAGAGGAAUGGACUUCUCCCAUUCUACUGGAGCAACCUGGAGAACACUUGGGCUUCGAAGGCCACUUCCCUCUGCUCCCCAGGGCCUACCCCACUGGCUUCAGACGAGUGACUGAGGGCAAGAAGGAAGAGCCAGGAUUCUGUCUACAUGUGUGCCAAUUCAAGGACCCAGGUGUCUGGCAUAGGAUGAGUGUAUGGUUAGACAGCGCCAGAGUGGAAAUUGGGGAACCUCAGUGACAUCCCAGCCUCCAUAUCAGCCUUGAGCCCACACCAAGAGUCACACAGAAGCACAGAGUGACUGCUGUACCAGAGAUGUCUCCAAGAGCACCAGCAACCCCAGCGAUCUGGAUCUGAAGUGGAUGUGUUCACAGGAGUCCUGGCUCACCCUACCCACCACCCCAGAGAAGAUGCUGCUGCACUCAGAAGAUGCCAGAGCUAGCCGCUACCCACACUGCAAGUCUGGAAGCUCCGCAAGGACCCAGCAAGGCAGCCUGCUCAGCGAAGGCUUUGUCUCCUGUGGCAGGAAUUUACUAAAGUCAUGCUAUACGCGAGGCACUGUGGAGGGACUGCAAAAAGACUUCAAGGACUGCACCAUCUUGUUGGAAAGAUGCCUAGACAACAUUUGA
rnacentral:lncRNA from 1 species